CACGUGAGCCCCAAGCGUUAUCCGGAUUCAUUGGGCGUACAGGGUCCGUAGGCGGCCUUGCAAGUCGUAUGUUAAAUCUUUGGGCUCAACCCAGAGGCCGCAUACGAAACUGCUUGGCUAGAGGACGGGAGAGGCAGACGGAAUUGCCGGUGUAGCGGUAAAAUGCGUUAAUAUCGGCAAGAACACCAAAGGCGAAAGCAGUCUGCUGGAACGUUCCUGACGCUGAGGGACGAAAGCGUGGGUAGCGAAUGGG
rnacentral:misc_RNA from 1 species